ensembl:lncRNA
AAGUAUUCUCCUUGUAAGCUGAGUAGGGAGACCAAGAGGAGGUUAAAGUGGUAAUUAAUGGCCUAAGAGGAUGCAACGAAAAGCCUCCUCUCAAAGUGUGAGGACAGGAUCUACUAGGCUUGCAAGGCGCUCUGAGAAGCAAAGACGGCUGCGGCUGUGGACACAAGGGACUCGGCGGACGGGAGUACCCGCCACAUUGUGAUCUGGACUCCCCUGAUGAUGGUAGCCUAGACUGCCUCCAACUUCUCAUCACCGUGAAACGAUGGGGCCAUGAGCCUCCUUGCACAUGCCACUAGGGACCUGUGAAAGAAUUUCUUUGGGAUAUGUGCCCAGG